UACGAAGGGGGCUAGCGUUGCUCGGAAUCACUGGGCGUAAAGCGCACGUAGGCGGAUCUUUAAGUCAGGGGUGAAAUCCCAAGGCUCAACCUUGGAACUGCCUUUGAUACUGCAAAUCUCGAGUCCGAUAGAGGUGGGUGGAAUUCCUAGUGUAGAGGUGAAAUUCGUAGAUAUUAGGAAGAACACCGGUGGCGAAGGCGGCCCACUGGAUCGGUACUGACGCUCAUGCACGAAAGCGUGGGGAGCAAACAGG
rnacentral:rRNA from 1 species